AUUGAACGCUGGCGGCAGGCCUAACACAUGCAAGUCGAACGGUAGCACAGAGAGCUUGCUCUCGGGUGACGAGUGGCGGACGGGUGAGUAAUGUCUGGGAAACUGCCCGAUGGAGGGGGAUAACUACUGGAAACGGUAGCUAAUACCGCAUAACGUCGCAAGACCAAAGUGGGGGACCUUCGGGCCUCACACCAUCGGAUGUGCCCAGAUGGGAUUAGCUAGUAGGUGGGGUAAUGGCUCACCUAGGCGACGAUCCCUAGCUGGUCUGAGAGGAUGACCAGCCACACUGGAACUGAGACACGGUCCAGACUCCUACGGGAGGCAGCAGUGGGGAAUAUUGCACAAUGGGCGCAAGCCUGAUGCAGCCAUGCCGCGUGUAUGAACAAGGCCUUCGGGUUGUAAAGUACUUUCAGCGGGGAGGAAGGCGGUGAAGUUAAUAGCUUCACCGAUUGACGUUACCCGCAGAAGAAGCACCGGCUAACUCCGUGCCAGCCGCCGCCGUAAUAC
rnacentral:rRNA from 1 species